UGGGGAAUUUUGGACAAUGGGGGAAAGCCUGAUCCAGCCAUGCCGCGUGUGUGAAGAAGGUCUUCGGAUUGUAAAGCACUUUAAGUUGGGAGGAAGGGCAGUUACCUAAUACGUGAUUGUUUUGACGUUACCGACAGAAUAAGCACCGGCUAACUCUGUGCCAGCAGCCGCGGUAAUACAGAGGGUGCAAGCGUUAAUCGGAAUUACUGGGCGUAAAGCGCGCGUAGGUGGUUAGUUAAGUUGGAUGUGAAAUCCCCGGGCUCAACCUGGGAACUGCAUUCAAAACUGACUGACUAGAGUAUGGUAGAGGGUGGUGGAAUUUCCUGUGUAGCGGUGAAAUGCGUAGAUAUAGGAAGGAACACCAGUGGCGAAGGCGACCACCUGGACUGAUACUGACACUGAGGUGCGAAAGCGUGGGGAGCAAACAGGAUUAGAUACCCAAGUAGUCCCUGAGCGGGCUGGCAAGGCGCAU
rnacentral:rRNA from 1 species